AUGAUCCCGAGGAGACAUAUAGUUCAUCAUUUGGUGUACUUGCUUCUAAAAUUGGUAUUGAUUCUACCGGUGGCAACAACAAAUGUUGAGAGAGCAUUUUCUGCCAUGAGUAUAGUCGAGAGCAAGUUGAGAAAUAAGACGGGUGAUAUUCUUUUGGAUAUUUGCCUAGUCACAUACAUUGAGAGGGAUGCUUUUGCUGAGGUGAAUGCAGAUGAUAUAAUUGAUACUUUCAUGUCAAUGCAAAAGCAUAGGCCAAAACAUAGUAUUUUCGAGCUUCUCAAGAUAUGUACUAUGGUCCAUAUAGUAUGUACUAUGUAUGCUUCUUUAUGCAAAACUUAUACUUAA
rnacentral:rRNA from 1 species